GAUGAACGCUAGCGGCAGGCCUAACACAUGCAAGUCGAGGGACCGGCGCACGGGUGCGUAACGCGUAUCAAUCUACCUUGUAAAGGGAUAGCCCAAGAAAUUUGGAUUAAUACCUAUAUACAAGAUGGCAUGCGUCCCAUUAGUUAGUUGGUGUGGUAACGGCACACCAAGACGAUGAUGGGUAGGGGUCCUGAGAGGGAGAUCCCCCACACUGGUACGGAGACACGGACCAGACUCCUACGGGAGGCAGCAGUGGGGAAUAUUGCACAAUGGGCGCAAGCCUGAUGCAGCCAUGCCGCGUGGAUGAAGAAGGCUUCGGGUUGUAAAGUACUUCACAGAGGAAGCGUUACUGCAGAAGAAGCACCGGCUAACUCCGUGCCAGCAGCCGCGGUAGUUC
rnacentral:rRNA from 1 species